rnacentral:rRNA from 1 species
CAGUCGCCGCGGUAAUACGUAGGGUGCAAGCGUUAAUCGGAAUUACUGGGCGUAAAGCGUGCGCAGGCGGUUCUAUAAGACAGAUGUGAAAUCCCCGGGCUCAACCUGGGAACUGCAUUUGUGACUGUAGAGCUGGAGUGCGGCAGAGGGGGAUGGAAUUCCGCGUGUAGCAGUGAAAUGCGUAGAUAUGCGGAGGAACACCGAUGGCGAAGGCAAUCCCCUGGGCCUGCACUGACGCUCAUGCACGAAAGCGUGGGGAGCAAACAGGAUUAGAUACCCGGGUAGUCCCUGUCUCUUAUAC